rnacentral:tRNA from 1 species
GGGGUGAUACGAUAACGGUAGUCUGUCGGACUCCAGAUCCGAUGGUGUGGGUUCAAAUCCUGCUCACCCCACCA